GGAAAAUGAAAGCAAAUGUAGGCACUUUAUUUCACUCUUGCUUUUCCUUCAUAGGCAUUAAAAAAAAUGUUGGGUCCUCUUUGGCAGGAAUAGUGGAAUCUAAUUUUUCCCCUUACUACCAAGAAUCUGGAGUGUGGCUUAUCAGGUACAAUUUUCUUUACUAAAAAAUCCAAGUUUCUGCCAGCAUUUCCAGGAACUGCUGGUGCUCUGAUACGACUUCCAGUGUACAGGAAAAACACUGAUUGCUGUUUCAAGAUUGCCUUCCACUGAGAUUCUGAUCAGAAGCAAUUGAUGUUAACAUGGCAUCUUUCCUAAAGUUACUGUUCACUUUCCUACUGUUGAAUGUUUUAAGUGACAGUCAAGCAGGAGCUGGUAAUUUAUCAUGUUCAAAACACAACAUUGCAGAACUUGGAAAACCUAUUAAAAUUAAAUGCAAGAAUAAUGAAACCAUUAUAAAAAUGGGAGUGGAAUUCUACUCCAACAAUUCUACCAAACAGAAUGCAAAUUUAACUGGUGUUGAAACAGAAAAACAGAACAGAAAAACGGCCUUUCUUGUAAUUAACCAAACAAAGAUAUUACAUGAAGGAAACUAUGAUUUAACAUAUGUAGCUGAAGACAGUAUGGGUAUACUGACUAUAUCUCUAGAGGUGUUUGCACCAUAUACAAGUCCUCAAAUCAUGAUACAGAAGGACACUCUUAUUUGUACAACAUCUGGAGGUUACCCAGAGGAGAAGCUCUAUUGGAUUUCUAAAGCUGGCACUAAAUUGACCCUUAAGUCAACAUCUAAGUCUGUGAAAAAUGAGGAUGGGUCAUUCAAUCUGAGCAACAUCCUUCAACUGGAAUUUCCUCCCUCUGAAACUGAAUAUUGCUGUACUUUCAACAACACAAGAGUUCCCAGCAGACAACCAGCUCCAACAUGUAUGGCACAUAGAAAUGUUAUAAAUUCCAUGAUUACAGCAGUAAACUCCAUGAUUACAGCAGCAGUAAAGACCACACCGGAAACAACUAGGAUAAUAGGCAUCCCGGUGGUUUUUAUUUCAUUGGCUUUCGGUUUAUUGGCUGUAUUUUGCUACAGAAAAAGAAAGAAAAAUGCAUCUUCUGCAAGAGGAAUUUCCAUUUUACUUGGAAGAAAAGACUUGUUUAUUCAGCUUAAUAAAAGUCAUAGUCUUCAGGCAUUGGAUGAGAUUUAAUUCUGUUUGCUUUGAGUAUUUUAAACUCUGCAAGAUCUUCCAAUUCAGCAUCAGAUAAGUAAUGUGAAGCUUACAUUGGAGAAGUCAGAUGCUCUUGAAUUCAUGUUUUUUUCUGAAAACUGGACAAACAAGACCUGCAGAUAUAAAAAACAAUGAAGAGGUUGAAAUUUUUAAUUGAAGAAUCAUUGCAAUUGCUAUCAACAGGAUUCUGAUUAAAAAUAUGGAUUGCAAGAAUUAAAUGCCAUUAUCAUAAACUAUUUUGAAAAACCUGGCACCAGUUUUCUGAGUAGAUCCUUCCAGUUUGGUAUAUGUUAGGUCUACCAGGUAUAGGCUGCAAAAAAAUGAGAAACCACUAGAGGACAGUAAAAUUAUUUUUAUGUCUGGACAUUUGCAGUCCAGAUUUGGUAGCUUAACAGUCUGUCAUACUGAACACUUUUGAUAUAGAGACACUGAAUGCUGUUGGUUAUUUAGAACUUUAUUAUGUAGCAUCAUGUUGGUGCAAGAAGAAAUGAUCUUCGAUACAAGGAUGAUUAGAUGUUCUGAAUGUGUGACACAUUUAAUAAUAAUAAUGUAAGAUAUAAAUUAUGAUGAGAAAAAUAUUGUGAAAUAUGCAUUGAGGGGGAAAAGGCAGUUGCAAACAAUGCAGUCAGAAAGCAGGAGACAAUAACAUCAAAAGUGGCCCAGAAAAUGAGUGAUUUUGAGGGAAACAAAUUGUUUUUGAUGAGGAGGGCCUUCAUGAAAGCUCAUGGAAUUAAAAAUGUUGAAACACUGUGGGCUAAAGCUGAAGUGAAUGCCGGAAAAAUUAUUUUAAACAAAAAUAUGGACCAAUAUCUCAAACUGAAAUGAAAAUGAAAUUGUAACUGUUGUACAAUAAUAAGGCUGUAGAGUAGAUGGCCUAAGCUGGAAUUUGUUUAUUUAUUUAUUUAAUUUUAAGAACUUCUAUGGUCAUUGAUCUCACAUAGUAAUCCUAGGAUGCUCCCAAAAAUCAAUAAAGAAAUCCCCAAAAAUUAUUUUUAAAAUGUUAUUUUUAAAAUGUAUAAUGUUUUAAACACAGAUGUGGUUUGAAUAUGACAACACCAUAUGACUUAUUUAACAAUGUACUGUAUGCGAAGCCUUCACCUUGGCCUGAUGAUUAGAAGAAUGAUAUUUGUUCCCCUACACCAAGAGAAACGAAGCAAGCAUUAAUGCAAAAAUUACUUUGGAUUAGCUUGACCUGUAUACCUGGGAAGGUGUUUGACAGAAUUCUGAAAAUUGUGACCAAAAGAAUAUGAGAUAAUAAACAAAAUUUGGAAAGUGCAAUGCAAUAAAAUUGUUGCUCUUAUGAAGGCCACUGACAACUGAACAAACAUGAGAAAACUUAUUUUAUAUAUUUUUAAUUUAGACAAAGCCUAUGACAAAAGGAACAAACUAGAAAUAGGGAAUGUUUUGUAUGAAUGCCUUGGUUGUGAGCCAUAAUGGUUGAAAGAAGAUAAAAUAUAACUUUCAGUAAGGACAUCCUUCUUUCAUGUUGUUAGAUAUGCCAGGAUACACUUACACUAUGCAGGGGUGUCAAACUGCUGGCCCGUGGGCUGGUUGCAUCAUGAGGAGGCCGCGCCCACCCCAGCUCCAGCAAUGCAAAAAAAGUUGUGAUACGUCACGACACAUCACAUGACGUGGCGAGUUUGACACCUGUGCAUUAUGGGAACCUGAUAUUUAAUAAGUGUGUGUGUCGCAAAAGAAGAACAUAUUGGGUAAAAAAAUAUGUGUGUGCUGAAGGAAUGUAGUUGAAUAUAAAACAAUGAAUUACUAGUACAAAAAAAGUACAUUGAAAUGGUUUAAUUAUAUAUAGGGAAUGAAGGAGUGAUUACAGUAUGAAAGAAGAAUGAGUUAAUGAAGAAGACUCACAAAAUCUUGAUUGGCUGGCAUUAAUGGAUCCUCCAAGAGAAAAAAGUUGUGAAGUUUAAAGGAUAUGUGUGUAGAGGAGUGUAUCUGUGUGAUGAAAGCAAAGAUAAUUUGCAAGGAUAGAAACUUCAAAGAGGUGUAGUAAACUGUGGCAAAUUGACUAAAUUGAAUUUGACUAAAUUUCUUAUGCUGUUAACUGAUUGGUCAUACUAUUUUCACAACAUUUUUUUCUGUAUUGUAUGUAACAUUUCUUGUCUUGGAAAGGAAUAGCUUGAUGGGUAUGUAUGCUCCUAAAGCAACAAGAGUUUUAAAGAUGUAAGGUUCAUUUGAUGAAGUCUAUAUGCCAGUUAGGGUUAACAGUGCAUUCCCAUCCUUGUCUAGUCAGGAGUAAACCUAAAUAAACAUUCAAGUUCAAGAUUCUUAAGGGAAAUGUCCUCUUUUUAAUCUAACAAACAAGUUGUUGGUAAAAAUAAAUAAAUGGAGAAUUCAGAAAGAUCUCCUAAACACAAAUAAAUGAAUAAAGAUUGUUUUUAGUUUAGCCCUCCUUCAACCUAUCUUAGAAACACUUCAAUACUUCAUCUCAAUGUGGAGAUGAAAUAAAGUGGAAGCAAACUUUGCUUAUGAGGGACUAGUAUGAAGAUUUUUGUGAUUGUUAAUAACAAGGACUAAGGCUGAAUACAUGUUCUUUGUAUCUCCUCAGACAUGGGGUUUAAUUUGUAACUACUCACACCAUUAGAUUUGACUGUACAUAAUGAUAUGGUUUACACUCAGCCAAGCACUCAUUUGAUUGAAAAUCACAUGAUCACAUAAGUGGGAAGUUAAUUUUUGCUCUGUGGGUAAAAAAGUAGUUGCUUUCAGGUAGAAAAAGCAGCUGUUGCAAAAUGCUUUGGAUCCUUUCUGCGUAUUUUCUCUUGCUGCAUUCUCCUGGAAAUGCAGAACCAAAAGAUCUUUUUCUUUCCAGAAAAAAUGGUCAGUCAGGAAUUGAUGGUUCUUAUUGCUGAAGAAGGGCAAAGCAUCAAUCUCACCUGCAAGUUUAUGCAUACGAUUGAAGGUCUGUAUCUUAAACGAACUUUUGCAAAGCCCACAGAUGUGCUUUUUAUUACCUAUCAUGGUAAAAACAAGAAAGAAGAUUCUGCAUACAAAAAUCGCACUGAGUAUUUUGAGGUGAACAACACAGCCACAAUUACACUGAAGCAACUGAAGGAAAAUGAUAGUGACGGAUAUAUGUGUGCAGCAACCUUGACCACAGAUACUGGGCUUAAGCUAAAGAAUAGCCCAGUGAAGUUUCUUUUGGUAGUAAAAGCACCUUCAGAGAAGAAUUUUGAAUCUCCCCGGAUGCUGUAUAUUUUUAUUUCUGUGUUAAUGCUCUUGGUUUUUAUGCUUGGAUCAUAUAUCAUCUAUCAUGCAGAUAUGAAGAAGUGCUUCCAACAAGGACAUGCAAAGAAAAGGCAAAAUUUCAUCUAUGAAGACAUGACAUACAGCCUGAGGUGCCAGAACACUGAAAAUAAAAAAAAUCAAUAUGCUAUGUAAUAUUGAACACUGAAUAACACAAUGUUGUUGAAAUUCCAACAAAUUCAUAAUUGUUUCAUUAUUUUUUAAAGAAAUGAUCAAAAAGUGUACACUUUGAGCACCAGUUUGCAUCUCACAGACAUGAACCAAUAAUAGUAUUUAAAAUUUGAAAGCUAAUGUUCAAAAACUCCAUUCAGGUAGCCCAUUGAAUGUGUGAAGGGCUCAAACUGCAUCGAGAAUGAUAGCUACUAAUUCCAUCCCCUCUGACUUCCACACAUUUUGCUGGAGGUCUGAAAAGAGCCAAAUUUGCUUUUGCUUGGAUGGGAGAAUAGCCCUCAGUACAGUUAGAGCAGUGGUUCUCAACCUUUUUAAUGCCGCGACCCCCAACCAGUCGUAAGUUGAGGACUACCCAACCGGUCAUACGUCGAGGACUUUCCCUGCCCAGGACUGCCGCACAUGCGUGGU